GAUGAAGAACGUAGUGAAAUGCGAUAAGUAAUGUGAAUUGCAGAAUUCAGUGAAUCAUCGAAUCUUUGAACGCACCUUGCACCCUUUGGCUAUUCCGAAGGGUAUGCCUGUUUGAGUAUCAUGAACACCUCAACUCUCAUGGUUUGCCAUGAUGAGCUUGGACUUUGGGGGUCUUGCUGGCCUGUGGUCAGCUCCUCUCAAAUGGAUUAGCUCGCCAGUGUUUGGUGGCAUCACAGGUGUGAUAACUCUCUACGCUUGUGGUUUUCCACCAGGUAACCUUCAGCAAUGGGGGUUCGCUGGUGCUCAUAAAUGUCUCUCCUCAGUGAGGACAGCUCUUUGAACGUUUGAUCUCAAAUCAGGUAGGACUACCCGCUGAACUUAAGCAUAUCAAUAAGCGGAGGA
rnacentral:misc_RNA from 1 species